rnacentral:lncRNA from 1 species
UAAGAAUUGUCGAUUACAAAUAUUUAAAGACAUUGUUUUCUAAUAGCUUUUAGUUAUUGAAGGACAACGAUUGUUUCACAUAAUUUGACAUAGUAUCAAAAUAGAUAAUUUUGAGUUCGAAUCCUGUCAGACUCUUAACUUCAGUCAAUUCAAAUCAACGUCUUGAACUUAUUAAAAAGUUUUGAGCCUAGAUGUAUCAUCCUAUGACAGCUUAGGCGCU